AGCAGUAGCCGCGGUAAUACGUAGGUGGCAAGCGUUGUCCGGAAUUAUUGGGCGUAAAGCGCGCGCAGGUGGUUUAAUAAGUCUGAUGUGAAAGCCCACGGCUCAACCGUGGAGGGUCAUUGGAAACUGUUAAACUUGAGUGCAGGAGAGAAAAGUGGAAUUCCUAGUGUAGCGGUGAAAUGCGUAGAGAUUAGGAGGAACACCAGUGGCGAAGGCGGCUUUUUGGCCUGUAACUGACACUAAGAGACGAAAGCUAGGGGAGCAAAUGGGAUUAGAUACCCGCGUAGUCCCUGUCUCUUAUAC
rnacentral:rRNA from 1 species